GGAGGUAACUCAGUUGGGAAAGUGUUUGCCUCAUAAGCAUGAGGACCUGGGUUCAAUCCCCAGGAUCCA
rnacentral:tRNA from 1 species